UUUUCAAGUCAGUAUGUUAUCAUGAUUUCCAGUAUGUGGCACUAAUACUCAAGGCAGAGUUCUUUGAGGAGGAGGAGGAAUUAAUUGCAGAUGGGAAAAGCGGUUCAGAAAAUUUGGAAUUACCAUGCCAGAGCUUACCUCCUUCUUGUACUUUAUUUUGCAGAGAUGAUCCCUUGUGUUCAUGUGAUAAGUGACCCUUUAAGGCAGAUCCUGCUGUCUGCAUAACAGCUGCUUGUGACUGAUCUGCAAGCCAGAAACCAACACAGCAUUCUGCUGCUUUAGUUUUCUUCAAUAUUUCUUCUACACAAGAACAUGCCCCUGAAAUCAUGUUGGUAUCUAGAAGUCUCAGGAUUUGAUAGCCAUAAAGAACAAAGCCAAAUCCAUGCAAUUCACAAGACAUCUGAAGUAUAAGGGGAAGGAAAUAUAGACUGACAACUCUCUAGGUCCUACUUUUGUCUUCCUCGUACUGUUCCAGGUGUUUCCAUCAGUGGAAAGUGUGCAGAGCAUCAUUGCUGUGGUUUGACAAGGUUUUGCAGUGACUUUGAUUUGCAGCAGGUGGAUAACCCUACACUGUUCCAUCCACAAGAGAAGUAGACUUGAGGCAUCUGCUUUCAUCAGAGUCCACCCAGACUUCCAGAGUUGCAAUUUUCAGAUUAUUUCAGUGAACUCCUGCACAUCAUCCUAUGUUUGCAUAAGAGCAGUACAGCAAAAUUGUGUGCAUCAGGCCCAAGACAUCUUCCUGCAAGUGAAAUGGAGAAGAAUGAGUGUUUCCAAGUGAUAUCAGAAAAAGAUGUGGUACAGUGGAGAACCUGAUGAGAUCUGCUGAGUAUGGAUUUUUCUUGAGUCCUGGUAUGUCAGCUUACAUGUGUGGGUAGCCUUCAUUAUUUACUCCUAUGUAUGAGAAUUAGGUGUGGCAUAGAGAAUCCUGGCUGGGAGGGUGGUCGUGGAUAUUCUUUCUCAUAUAAGAGCAUCACUUCAUGAAAAGCUUGGUAUUUUGUAUUAAUUGCUUGCAUUUUUUGACCAAUAAAGAAAAAUAGAGAUAGAAAACUGUCUAGCCCUGUGGGAUGCUUACAGUAGGGAGAACUGAUGUAAGCAAGUCUCUAGUAUUUUUAAACUAGUGUUUUUAGGAAACUGGGCUCGUGCUACAUUUUUGAUUGCUUCCACAGAUGCUAAGGUUGCAGCAUAAGCUGCAUUAUAUUAGCUGGCAACAGAUCAUCCAUGUAGAACACAGACUUCAUGAGUAUCUUUAUCCUAGUAAAAGCUUUGAUCAGAAAUUUUUGCUUUUUUGAGACACACAAAAGAAUCUAAACAUGAAACACAACUGGAGGAAGCCAGGCCUUUUAAGCUGUAUUUUCCAGAAGCUGCUUAUUUUCAAUGGCUUGUUUAGAUCUGCCUCAAUCAAAGCUGCAGACAAAGUUUCUGUCGGUGUGUACAAGCGCUUUCAGGCUCAGCAGUGCCAGCACAGGGAGACCCAGCCCUGGGCACCUCAGCUCUGCUGCUUACUACGAGUUGUAGUCCAAGUUGUAAGGAUCCCAAGACUGCAGCACCUUUCAGGACUGUGGUUUGGUUGGCUGAGUAGCUGAUGGUCAAUCUGAGCCAGCAGCCCUGAGAGUGAGUCAGCCAAGACUCUGCAGGUGUCACCCACACAUGUGACCCUGCCCUCUGUUGUGUGUUGGGAUGACUUGCUAUUGUUGUCCCCUCUGGUCAGAACUGCUCCAGUGUUCCUGCCCCUGCUUUCCCCAUUACAGUGAUUGUCACCCACUGGAGUACUUUAGCACAGGGUUUAUAGGCUCAGCAGAGGCAGGUCUGGGUCGCUAAGGUGCUGGGUGACAAAUGCAGGAACUGGGAAAAAUACAGUUAGACAACCAAUUCCUGUGUUUGGAUGCAUCCAUGUUAAAAUGCAGGCUGUGUCUAUGGAUUUGAUUAAAAUGGGGUAGUAAAGGAUACUGCUUUACAGCAGUGUGUUCCUGUUCAGAUGUUUGCAUUUUCUGAAAGUUAGUACUUUCUAUUCCUUAGUUAUCUCACCGAAUUUCACUGUAAUAAUAUUCCCAGAUAAAGCUGAAUUGUGGGAAAGCCAGAGAAUGCUAAAAGGCUGUAAUUUCUCCUCCUGAGGAAUGUUGUUAUCUUUCAGCAUGAACACCCUUGACAUCAGCUGGUCUUGCUGCAAUAUUGCUAAUGGAGAAGUGCAAGGACACUAAUAAUGGGUUUGGCAUCAGCUGGCAAGGCACACGUCUGUCCUUCCUCUAGAAGGACAGAGAAGGAAAAAGAAUAUAUUGUCCUUACUCGACAGGGUAUUGUUCAGAAUCAUAUCCAUAGCCUGGGAAACAAAAAUCAUCAUUCUCCCCUUUGAUGUUUACAUGACAUGACAGUGUAAGGGCUUUUGGAGAGAUAAUAUGUUCUGAUAGGUCUGGGAUUUUUUCUGUAACUCUGUGGCAUAAAGGACAUCAGGCCUGCUAAAACCUGAGCUCAUUUUUUUCCAGCUAAAAACCAGAUUGGAGUAGACCCCCUAAGAGAAAAGAUAGAAUUUAGAAAUUGUGGAGAAGGUGUUGUUUCCUUUAUACCAGGUCACUGCAAGCAUAGUUAAGUGCAUUUUGCAACCGGAUGCAUUUCACAAGCAUUUAAAUGGCUGAGCCAGAAAAAUGCUGAAAACUUUUAAUUCCCACUCACUAGAGUGAGCUGAUCCUUUUCUGUGAUGAAUCACUUAAAAUCAGUAAUAAUUCACUUAUUGAGUGAUUCCUGUCUCCAGUCUUUUUUAACAUACUGAUGAAUUUUUAAUUUAAUUUGCUAAUGUGUUGGCAAAUUAUAGCAGUGUAUAGAAAAGGUCCCUUAAGGACUGGCAACCCUGUUGUCCUUUGUGUCUCUUCAUAAGGCUUCAUUAAAUUUUUUUUUCCUGACUGCAGCUUUGCACCAGUGUCUUCCCCAUCUCCCAAAUCCCAUUGACUAGAUUUGUCCCUACUGUGCUGCCCAGAACAUUCACAGGAGUCACUCUUACAUGCUCAAAGGCAAGUUGACAAGCCUGGAUAUAAUCUGAAAAUAUGAAGGCUUUGUUAAGACCACAAAACACAGAAAUCUCUGUGCAAUCUGUGUUGCAAAAGCACAUGAAGUUUUUGUAUAUUUCAGUACUUUUGGUCUUAUAUCUACUAACAUUUCAUACAAAAUAUUUCCAUGGCAGACCACAUUUGUUCUUACAAAAGCAACUUUGAGAACACCAAUGGUGGGGUUUUUGUUUAGUUUUGGUAAUGACUGGAAAAGUGGUGGAAAGUUUGUAGUUGGAUUUAAAUUUCUGAAAAGAGUAAUUGUAAAAAAAAAAAAAAAAAAGGAAGCUUAGAUUUGGACCAUCAGGGAUAAGAUUUGUGAGAACAUAGAGCUUUCAUUGACCGUACACAAAUGGCUAAACUUUGCUUUCUGUGGUUUCUAAAUGCAAAGUAAUCCUUGUCCUCCUGUCAGAAAAAGGAUGUAAUAUCAGAGGUAAUGUUAUAUUGAAACUUUGCUUUGCUCAGACCAAGAUAUUUGUCAAUUACAACCCAGCAGAACAUUUGCUCGUAUGAUGUUGCCAGAAUUUAAAUAAUUAAAAAUGAGUUGUCUUCAGCAAGUAAAUAAAGUACACCUAAUGGAG